rnacentral:rRNA from 1 species
UACGAAGGGGGCUAGCGUUGCUCGGAAUCACUGGGCGUAAAGCGCACGUAGGCGGCUUUCUAAGUCAGGGGUGAAAUCCUGGAGCUCAACUCCAGAACUGCCUUUGAUACUGGAGAGCUUGAGUCCGGAAGAGGUGAGUGGAACUCCGAGUGUAGAGGUGAAAUUCGUAGAUAUUCGGAAGAACACCAGUGGCGAAGGCGGCUCACUGGUCCGGUACUGACGCUGAGGUGCGGAAAGCGUGGGGAGCAAACAGGGAU